rnacentral:rRNA from 1 species
AUACGGAGGGUGCGAGCGUUAAUCGGAAUUACUGGGCGUAAAGGGUGCGUAGGCGGCUUGAUAAGUCGGAUGUGAAAGCCCCGGGCUUAACCUGGGAAUUGCAUUCGAUACUGUCAGGCUAGAGUAUGUCAGAGGUUGGCGGAAUUCCUGGUGUAGCGGUGAAAUGCGUAGAUAUCAGGAGGAACACCAGUGGCGAAGGCGGCUAACUGGGACAAUACUGACGCUGCGGCACGAAAGCGUGGGGAGCAAACAGGAUUAGAAACCCCAGUAGUCC